GAUGAACGCUGGCGGCGUGCCUAAUACAUGCAAGUCGAGCGAACAGACGAGGAGCUUGCUCCUUUGACGUUAGCGGCGGACGGGUGAGUAACACGUAGGUAACCUACCUAUAAGACUGGGAUAACUUCGGGAAACCGGAGCUAAUACCGGAUAAUAUUUCGAACCGCAUGGUUCGAUAGUGAAAGAUUGCUUUGCCAUCACUUAUAGAUGGACCUGCGCCGUAUUAGCUAGUUGGUAAGGUAACGGCUUACCAAGGCAACGAUACGUAGCCGACCUGAGAGGGUGAUCGGCCACACUGGAACUGAGACACGGUCCAGACUCCUACGGGAGGCAGCAGUAGGGAAUCUUCCGCAAUGGGCGAAAGCCUGACGGAGCAACGCCGCGUGAGUGAUGAAGGUCUUCGGAUCGUAAAACUCUGUUAUUAGGGAAGAACAAACGUGUAAGUAACUGUGCACGUCUUGACGGUACCUAAUCAGAAAGCCACGGCUAACUACGUG
rnacentral:rRNA from 1 species